rnacentral:rRNA from 1 species
AGCGAACGCUGGCGGCAGGCUUAACACAUGCAAGUCGCACGAGAAAGGGACUUCGGUCCUGAGUACAGUGGCGCACGGGUGAGUAACACGUGACUAACCUACCUCCGAGUGGGGAAUAACCUAGAGAAAUCUGGGCUAAUACCGCAUAACACUUACGAGUCAAAGCAGCAAUGCGCUUGGAGAGGGGGUCGCGGCAGAUUAGUUAGUUGGCAGGGUAAUGGCCUACCAAGACGAUGAUCUGUAUCCGGCCUGAGAGGGCGCACGGACACACUGGAACUGAAACACGGUCCAGACUCCUACGGGAGGCAGCAGUGGGGAAUUUUGCGCAAUGGGGGAAACCCUGACGCAGCAACGCCGCGUGGAGGAUGAAAUCCCUUGGGAUGUAAACUCCUUUCGAUCGGGAAGAUAAUGACGGUACCGAGAGAAGAACGCCCCGGCUAACUUCGUGCCAGCCGCCGC